rnacentral:rRNA from 1 species
UACGUAGGGUGCAAGCGUUGUCCGGAAUUAUUGGGCGUAAAGAGCGUGUAGGCGGCCCCCAUUAGUCCGCUGUGAAAGUCCAGGGCUCAACCCUGGAAUGCCGGUGGAUACUGUGGGGCUAGAGUCGAGGGACGGAGUGGAAUUCCUGGUGUAGCGGUGAAAUGCGCAGAUAUCAGGAGGAACACCAAUGGCGAAGGCAGCUCGCUGGGACGUGACUGACGCUGAGACGCGAAAGCGUGGGGAUCAAACAGG